rnacentral:lncRNA from 1 species
GGACAGUAAAACAAAGAUUAAACCCCUUGCGUAUAGGGAUGAAUUUCAGGGCCAAUUGAAGAAUUAUAUGUCAGCUUAUUGUAGAACUUCCCGUUAAAUCUAUACUGAAUGAAUCCUCAAAAAGGCUUUGAGCUAGAUUGUAGGCAUAAAUUUUUUGCAACCUACUUUUAGUAAGGGUUCAAUCUCUCUUAUAGCCCACCACCCAGCAGAGAUACUGGAAAAGAAAAGUUAUUAGGAGGCGAGCAAAGUGGACCUGUUUGGCAAUGGUUCUUUGGGGGCAAUAUUGAUUUUUGGCCGCAGUUCAGUCCUGUAGCAAACACCAAAUAUGACUCAGCAGCUACAGGCCGGUCCUCUAGGCAAGCAGACUCCAUCUACAAACUGACAGCUACAGUUCAGUCCUUUAAGCAAGCAAACACCAGGCAGCUGUAGUUCAAUCCUGAAGAAAGCGCCAGGCUUACCAACUGGCCUAAGCCAAGGCCAUAAAAGCAGCAAGCUGCCACAGGAACCUCAGGAGCAGUUCUUGGAGCUGGGGACUGAACCCAGGGCCUUGCACUUGCUAGGCAAGCGCUCUAUCACUGCGCUAAAUCCCCAACCCCCAGAUAACUCACUUAUAUUCAACACAAAACACACAGAAAUGUAGGCAAACUAAGGCCUGAAUAUCAGCCACUGUACACUCCUCAGUACUUUCUUCAGCACAGAAGAGCUCAAGCUAAAUAUUGACUGAGACUAUGCACAUUCAUAUAACUCCUGUUUAAUAAAGCAUGCAUAGGA